rnacentral:tRNA from 1 species
ACUGAGAAGUUAUCCGUGCAAAUCGGAUCAUUUUGAUACCCAACAGCUAGCCUACACCCCCAAACCAAACAAACCC